rnacentral:other from 1 species
AGAUGCCCAAAAGGGAAAAUAUUUCCGACACUUUGAUAUAAGGGAACUCGGAGUCCAUAUGUGGUGUGAAUACUGGUUUACCAGGAUCCUAAGCCUAUGACAGAGAACCCACCUGUAAACUACAGGGAAUAAUAUCAUCCUUUUGGGUUUUAU